CGGACCUUCUCCUUACUGUUUUUCUCAUUCCUCUUGGAUGGAAACUUGUAGCCCAUGGGUGGCAACUGGACCUGGCUGUGACAACUCCCCACAAGCUGGGCUCGGGUCUGCCGGUUCUCUUCCUGCUUACCCUAGACAUUCACUCUGCCUUUAUUCUGUGUGUUUGAACAAGUCAGUUCUUUUUUGUGGGUCAAAAGAAGGAGUAGCUGAGCAGCUAAAUAAUUUAGUGGGGGUGAGGAUGCAGCUGGAGAGGCCCAGCGCUCUGCCGCGCCUGCUCUAAGCCGCGCCUGCUCAAAGCCUGGUGUCCAUUCCCAGCGCUACCGAAAACCACCCCUGGGGCACACACCUAUAAUCCCCAGCGCUCUGGAGGUAGAGGCAGGAACUCAGAAGUUCAAAAGUCAGCCUCAGCUACGUAGUGAGCUUGAAGCUAGCCUGGGCUACAUGAGGAGAGGAGGAAAUGAACACGAUCUGUGACGGAGACCAGGAGGGAGUGAGGCAUGGUGGGUAGCGAGCAGAGCCCCUGAUGGACAAGCUCCUUCAGAGGCAAGAACAAGGAGCCCAGCAAAAGUGUUUGCUGAGCCUCCUAACCACCCUUAGUCCUUUAUGCCUCCUUUCGUAUUCCUUGUGUAUCCUGCCGUUGUCAAUUCCCCAUGGAUAACAGGCCAUAAACACUUAAAGGUAAACAAAACUGAGGGCUAGUUGUCCGCUUGUGUUGGUGACUGGGUAGGGUGGAGACAGGGAACUCGUCUACUGUAAACACAGACCUCCUGGAUCCACCUGGGUUUCUUCCAUGACUCAGGGGCCUCUGUUCCAGCUGCAGACAAAGCCCUUCCUGGAAGGGCCGAUGUUUUCCUGGCCUACAGGAUGCUGGCUGCUGACAGGUGCACAGUGGGCACCGAACACAGCUCUCUCCCCACAGGGGUCAGAAGAUGAGUCACAUCCACCAGCCCGAUGACUUGACGUCUUGGCUCGCUCCAUCAUGCACGUGGGACGGCCUGGCCUAGGGUUGUGCGGCGUGGAACACCGGAGGGCUUCUGCAGCAAUCCAGUCGAGACCUUGGGCACCCCAGUCUCUGCUUCCCCUGAAGAAGAUUGGCAUGGAGCUACCUGAAGAGGGAGUCAUUGAGUCUAAUGGAAGUGGAUUUGUGUCAAUGAAGCUGCUGGGUCCAAGGUGGGAGCACUCGACAGCGAGGUUCCUUUCAUUUCUGAAGACUUUCUGACCCCUUGUCAUUCCAGAAACACUAAUUUUUGUUUUGCCUUUUAAAUCAAAGUAACAGGAGGUGGGGGGCUGGGGCGGGGCAGUGUUUGCCAUCCAGGCACAAGCACUUGAGUUUGAGCUCUAGCACCCGGCCAGAGGGUGACCGGGCACACCUGGGGAGGUGGAGGCAGGAGGAUGCCUAGAGCUUUCAAACCAACGAGGCUAGCGGAAUUGGGCAGCUUCGGGCCCGGUGGGAGAUUCUGUCUCAAAAAUAAGAUGUAGAGUGAUAGAGACCCCUGAUAUCAACCUCUGGCCUCCACACACAUGCACACAACAUCAUGUGCACAUUUGCUCAUAUACGUAUCCGAACAGCUGUGUAUGCACACACAAACAUGCACACGUGCAUACACACACACACACACACACACACACACACACACACACACACAGAGUCAGAGUAAGCCAGAUCUGUAAGGGCCGGAAGAUGAGCUGAAGAGCCCAGCCCCCAUCUGCUCUUGGUGACAACCAGGUUGUGUCGGUUGCUCUUGGAAGCAGGUCACGUGCUGUCUCAUCAGUACUUACAGAACGUUAUUACCUCAUCAUUAACCACGAAGGAAACAGUCUUGGGGACAGUGGUCCAUUCACCUAAGCUAUAUCAGAGUCAUGGCCCAAGCCUGUGCUGCGGCCUCCGGGAAGGAAGGAUUGUCAGGGAGGAGUGUGCUGGCUCCCUGGCCUCCCCACCCCACCUGCCUCACCCUGAUGAAGACUUGCGGUUCUCAGAAGUGCAUUCUGCGUGUUGAAGCGUGCUUCUUAUGUCCCACUGGCAAUUCUGGUCUAGUGUCUCCUGAAAUAAGUUGUAUCCAAUAUCACUUUUCCCCCCACAUCAUGGCAAGCUCAUUCUCAGUCCCUGUUAUCAAUUGUCCCUCAGCAUUCAGCUCAGCAGUUGCCUCUUCUGGAGAACUUCCGUAUCCUCUCCCUCCUGCCAUCCUCCCAUGGAUCUCUGCUCCGUAGUUACUGUGUUCACUGAGACCCCUGUGGUCUGGGAGACUGACUCCAUGUAGACUCUGAAUACAUCAGAGCUCUAGAAACAUCUCCCUUCCUCUACGUUCAUCUACAUCUAGAAUGUAGAGGCAGGAGGAUCAGGAGUUAUUCUCAAAUAUAUUAGGGUUUGAAACCACUCUGGACUCCAUAAGACACAAACAAAAAAAAACAAAAACAAAAAAACCAAAAAAACCCAAAAAACAACAAAAAAAAACAAACAAUCAAAAAGCAGACAAAGAGACAAAGAAAAACCCACAGGGGGCUGGGGAUGUAGCUCAACUAGUGGGGUACUUGUUUAGCAUACAUAAAACCCCAAGCUCAUUCCGCAGAACCACACGGAACCAAGCCUGAUCACCGGUGCAUUUAGGAGGUGGAGGCAGGAGGAUCAGAAGUCCAAGGUCACCCUUGGCUACAUAGUGAGUCCCAGGCCAGUCUAGAAUGCGUACUAGUAACUAUUAUGUAUUGCUAACCUAGGAAGAGAGGGAGGUGUUCAAUGGAGGAAAAAUAACUAGAAACUUCUUGGCACUUAGCAUCACAUGGAAUUUGCCAAAUAAUGAAUAGUUCUUCAAAGGGGUGGGGGUGGGGGUAGGUGAGAUGGGUUGGGAGUAAAGGGUCUCGUCACCAAGUCUCAUGAUCCACGCCUGACUCCUGCAGGCUGCCUCUCCGCCACACAGUGACUAAAUGUAACAGACGGUGCGAGUAUCCUGAGGGCAAUGCCCUAACCCAAGGGCAAGCUGGGCAGCACCGCUCUUUUGGGUAAAGUUGCCAAUGCCCGUAGAGAGAAUGCCUGCAACUUUGUCUUCUUCCCAUACACUUGCUAAACCCACUGCCAUCCUGUUGCUUCUCUAGAAUCUAGGAAUUAAAACAGAAUUUAGCCCCAAUUCUAUGCUCUACUUACGUUGAACUUGAAAUUUCACAUGCUAUGACCGUAGUUUUCAGAGACUAAAGUCUACCUGAUUUCAAAAUUGCUGGUUGAUACAAGUUCAAAAUAAUUUGGUUUAGAAGUUUGGCAGUUUGCUUUCUUCUUUUCUUCCUUCCUUCCCUUCUUCCUCCCUCUCUCUUUCUCUCUUUCUUUUUCUC